rnacentral:rRNA from 1 species
UACGUAGGGUGCGAGCGUUGUCCGGAAUUAUUGGGCGUAAAGAGCUCGUAGGCGGUUUGUCGCGUCGGCCGUGAAAUCUCCACGCUUAACGUGGAGCGUGCGGUCGAUACGGGCAGACUUGAGUUCGGUAGGGGAGACUGGAAUUCCUGGUGUAGCGGUGAAAUGCGCAGAUAUCAGGAGGAACACCAGUGGCGAAGGCGGCUCGUGG